GCCUGGCUGGCUCAGUCCGUGGAGCAUGUGACUUUUGAUCUCAGGGUCAUGGGUUUGAGCCCUAUGUUGGGUG
rfam:Ailuropoda melanoleuca scaffold589_90, whole genome shotgun sequence.